GAGUCCCACAAGCAGCGAGACUGCAGACUGCGGCGCUGGCUGGGGCCACUCCUCCCGCGACACUCCGAAACUGCUCCCCUUUCCCUUGGGAUUUCUAAGGGUUCGGACCAGCUAAGACCCCUCCCUUUAAGUCCAGCCCGGGGAAGGGGAGGCGGAGAGAGCCUUGCGGGAGCAGUGCCACAGGAAAACCCCGUGUCCCCUGCCCAGCUGGCAGGAGUGGCCCUGGCGGCGCGCGCCCAGCCGCUCCCAGGUGCAAAAACACACCCGAGGCGCUUGCUGUUGUACCAUUUAUCUAUCAGUCACUAAUGAAUAUUAUUCUCCCAUAACUAUGUAUAAGCUAUGUAUAUGAAUUACUAUGGAUAUUCUGUAUACUAGAGCUGCACUCGUGCACAAGACAUGGAACAAAUCCAGUAGUUUCCAAAGUCCAAAUCUAAUUAGGAAAUACUACAGAAUCAACUCUGGACUCAGCAUCUCCUUCCUCCUGUCUACAUGGUCACAUACUGGUUUUCGAGGUUCCAUCUUUGCUAAUGAAGAAGGUUGCUUUGGAAAUACAGAACAAGAGUAGGAGACACACCUCAGAGGUGGAACACUUGCUUGUUAUAUGCAAGGUCUCCACUUUGAUCCCUGAUGGUGGAAAAUAAAAUAAAGUGCAAAGAAAAAAU
rnacentral:lncRNA from 1 species